AAGGCGACGAUGNGUAGCNGACNUGAGAGGAUGAUCAGCCACACUGGAANUGAGACACGGUCCAGACUCNUACGGGAGGCAGCAGUGGGGAAUUUUGCGCAAUGGGGGAAACCCUGACGCAGCAACGCCGCGUGAGUGAUGAAGGCUUUCGGGUCGUAAAGNUCUGUNUAGAGGGAAGAAAUGAUAGUAGGUUAAUACCCGGUUUUCUUGACGGUACCUGCUGAAGGAAGCACCGGCUAACUCCGUGCCAGCAGCCGCGGUAAU
rnacentral:rRNA from 1 species